rnacentral:tRNA from 1 species
GCCCCGGUGGCGCAAUCGGUUAGCGCGCCGUACUUAUAAGCAGUGCGAUGGCUAUGAUAUGCGGAGGUUGCGAGUUCGAUCCUCGCCCAGGGCA